CCUACGGGAGGCAGCAGUGAGGAAUAUUGGUCAAUGGGCGCGAGCCUGAACCAGCCAAGUCGCGUGAAGGAUGACUGCCCUACGGGUUGUAAACCUCUUUUAUCAAGGAGUAAAGUGAGGCACGUGUGCCUUUUUGUAUGUACCCUAUGAAUAAGGAUCGGCUAACUCCGUGCCAGCAGCCGCGGUAAUACGGAGGAUCCGAGCGUUAUCCGGAUUUAUUGGGUUUAAAGGGAGCGUAGAGGGGUUGUUAAGUCAGUUGUGAAAGUUUGAGGCUCAACCGUAAAAUUGCAAUUGAUACUGGCAGCCUUGAGUACAGUUGAAGUAGGCGGAAUUCGUGGUGUAGCGGUGAAAUGCUUAGAUAUCACGAAGAACUCCGAUUGCGAAGGCAGCCUACUAAACUGCCACUGACAUUGAUGCUCGAAAGUGUGGGUAUCAAACAGGAUUAGAUACCCGUGUAGUC
rnacentral:rRNA from 1 species